rnacentral:rRNA from 1 species
CCUACGGGGGGCAGCAGUGAGGAAUAUUGGUCAAUGGCCGGAAGGCUGAACCAGCCAAGCCGCGUGAAGGACGAAGGUGCCAAGCAUUGUAAACUUCUUUUGUCAAGGGACAAAAUAAGGCUCGAGAGCCUGACCGAGGGUACUUGAAGAAAAAGCACAGGCUAACUCCGUGCCAGCAGCCGCGGUAAUACGAAGGAUGCGAGCGUUAUCCGGAUUUAUGGGGUUAAAAGGGUACGUAGGCGGACUGUUAAGUCAGCGGUAAUAGCCCGGGGCUAAACCGCGGCGAGCCGUGGAAACUGGCUGUCUUGAGAUGUCGAGAGGUAUGCGGAAUGCGCAGUGUAGCGGUGAAAUGCUUAGAUA